GAUCAACGCUGGCGGCGUGCCUAAUGCAUGCAAGUCGAGCGGGGUGGGUUUCGGCCCACUUACGCGGCGGACGGGUGCGGAACACGUGGGCAACCUGCCCCGAGGUGGGGGAUAGCCGGUGGAAACACCGGGUAAUUCCGCAUGAGGUCACUGGCCGGAGGGCGAGUGAGGAAAGGGUCUUCGGACUCGCCUUGGGAGGGGCCUGCGGCCGAUUAGCUAGACGGGGGGGUAACGGCCUACCGUGGCGAUGAUCGGUAGCUGGUCUGAGAGGACGGCCAGCCACACGGGGACUGAGACACGGCCCCGACUCCUACGGGAGGCAGCAGCAAGGAAUCUUCCGCAAUGGGCGAAAGCCUGACGGAGCAACGCCGCGUGUGGGAUGACGCCUUUCGGGGUGUAAACCACUUUUCUCAGGGAAGAAGCACUGACGGUACCUGAGGAAGAAGGACCGGCUAACUACGUGCCAGCAGCCGCCGUAACAC
rnacentral:rRNA from 1 species